rnacentral:rRNA from 1 species
UCUUCGGAGAGUUUGAUCCUGGCUCAGGAUGAACGCUGGCGGCGUGCCUAAUACAUGCAAGUCGAGCGAACUGAUUAGAAGCUUGCUUCUAUGACG